rnacentral:rRNA from 1 species
UACGGAGGGGGCUAGCGUUGUUCGGAAUUACUGGGCGUAAAGCGCACGUAGGCGGACCAGUUAGUUGGGGGUGAAAUCCCGGGGCUCAACCCCGGAACUGCCUCCAAAAACUGCUGGUCUGGAGGUCGAGAGAGGUGAGUGGAAUUCCGAGUGUAGAGGUGAAAUUCGUAGAUAUUCGGAGGAACACCAGUGGCGAAGGCGGCUCACUGGCCCGGUACUGACGCUGAGGCACGAAAGCGUGGGGAGCAAACAGG